rnacentral:rRNA from 1 species
UACGUAGGAGGCAAGCGUUGUCCGGAAUUACUGGGCGUAAAGCGCCGUGUAGGUGGUGGGACAAGUCUGCUGUGAAAGCGCCUGGCUUAACCGGGCGAGGUCGGCGGAAACUGUUCGACUCGAGGACGGUAGAGGGGGGUGGAAUUCCCGGUGUAGUGGUGAAAUGCGUAGAGAUCGGGAGGAACACCUGUGGCGAAGGC